UAAAUAAAUCUAAGAAAACUGCAGCAGUCGUUCGUUUGUGCCAACUGCGUCACCGAGCGCGUCGUGUUCUUCUACUCCGCCGACGGCGCCAGGCUCUUCUUCGAGUGUGACGGCGCCGUGCACGGGGUUAGCGCGCUCGCGAGCCUCCACCUAUGUGCCCCGCUUUGCGACGCCUGUGACGCCGAACGCGCCACUCUCUGCUGCCAAAUCGGCGCCCACCGGGCCAUGCUCUGCGCCGGUCGCCGUGCGCUACUGGACCGCGGCGGUGGAGCCUCCCCCGUGGAUGCUUACACCAGCGGCUACGCGCCCGCCGAGAUCGUCUGCAUCCUCUCCGUCGACGCGCCGUCGUCGCAUGAGGACUUCGAUGUCUGGCUCGCCGACAACCUCCCCCAAAUCCUACACGAGGUUCAGGUAUAACAUCUACUUGGGUAAAUUUCUAAAUUGCACUUCUUUUUUGCAACUGUAUAUGCAAUUGAAGGAGACUCUUCUUGAUGAUCUUGCGUGCCAAAUCUUACAUGGACAGUUUGAUUGUGUGAUCCAGCGACAAAAUUCAUUGAGUAGUGCUGCUAUAUAUCAGUCAAGGGAAUGGUAUAGAGAAGAGAGGAUGAUGAUAAUACAAAGUGGGUGAGAUAGUAUGAGUGAUUAGUGAAGGGGCAUAGGCUUGGUACUACACCAUCGUACAAACAAGGAAGUGGUUAGUGUGCUAUCUUUGAUGUAAAAGAGGAAGAUUUCUUUCCUGACUCAUCUAAUGGUGGAUCGAUGAUUUAAGAAGCAUAUUCAGUUCUUCUCUCAAUUUUUUGGUGCCAAGCUUGAUCUUUAUCCAACUGACUGACUGACUAAAAGUACCUUCUAAUCACUAUUGAACGCAUAUAUUAGUUAGUUUGACUGUAUACACCACAUAAAGAGAAAAAAAUGAAUUCUAAAAAAGUUAGGCAUAGAUACUACAGAACCAGUGGACCCUCAAGAAACAAAAGGCACACCUGAAGGAUUUUUUCUUAAGAAAUGUAUUAAUUUGACUAUUUGAGUAUGCAAAAUGUGCAAUUUCAAUCUUUCCUUUUCAAGGAGAACAGGGGACUGCUACAUACUCAAUAUGGAUGGAGGCUAAUUAUUGAUCUUCCAAGUUAAAAAUCUGAAAAUAACUUCAUUUAGUAAUGGAUAUAUGGUCAAGAAAGGAUGCCUUUCCUUAAAGAUACAGAACAAAAUCAUGUUCGUGUAUGUCCGGCUGACAGAUGAAUCAAUCUCCUUUUAAGUUUCAAACCAGCAACCUUUGUGUACGUACAUGUGUUAUCAAGGAUGCACGGAUCCAUUGGCCUGCGUACCACACAUCCCCUCACUAAUUCUAUCAGUGUCAUUCUUAACAAGGUAAGUAUGAUUGCCUAAUCUCUGAUUUUCUUAAUUGAUCUUUGGUCCUUGAUCCCUAAUGUCGUUCUAUUUUAUUGAUUUUAUAAAUGAUCUCAAACAGGAACAUACCAUUUUUUAGGCUACAGUUCCUAUAACUUGCCUUGUCAAUUUAAUAAAAUUACAUGUGUGAUGGAGGUUGUAACUUAUUACGGUUUACAUUGUCAAAAUUCUUCAAACCCUAUGUCGAUCCUCACUAUUUUUGAAACAAUCUGAUUUCUGUGUCAUUGCUAAACAUAUGUUUGGUGUGCUGGAUUUUCUGAUGUAAGAGGAAGCUAUUCGACAAUCCUGCUCAAGUUGGUAUAGAUUAGAUCGAUUUUAUUCAGUAAAUAUUUAUGCUUGAUAGAUGAAAGCCUCCCUCUUCUGCCCUUCUUUUCUCCAUCCUCUGUAGGUCGCGAGCACAUGUGAAUCGUUGUCGUCAAGAGCAUGCUUGUGACAUCAUUACUAUACGUGAUGCAUCGCAAAAGGACGUUGUCAGGAGUUAAGUGUUCAAGCGCAAUCUCUAGCCAAGUUCCCUUUGUUGUUGUGUUGAAUUUUGGGGAAAGGCGGCCAAGCAGCUCGUGGCAUCUGUGUCGCGCCUGCUCCGCCGCUACCUUGACUCGCCGACAACGUCGCCCGUUGGGCUGCAGGGGUGCAAGACGACCAUGGGGCCCAUUGCAUGGGUGCUGAGUAUGCUUGAUUUCCAUGUCGGAGACGAAGGCCCUAGAGCUUGGUGGCUUGUGUGUGAUGUUUUUUUCCUCCCAUUGCAACACAUCGAUUGAUUUAUUCAUGCAUCCAUCGAUUUACUCUGAAUUGUUUUCAGUCGUCAAACAUUAACUGGAUUGACUCGUGGAUAUGCAUUGUGACAAGUCGUGUGAGAUGAAGGUGGUGAACCAUCUCAAUAUGAAGCCAAGUAUGGUGGAUUUGCCAUGGAUGAUGGUAGACCGGUAAGGUUUAAAUUUUGAAUUGUCAAGUUUUGUGUCACCGAGCUUCUGGACGGUCAAACCUAUAAAGUUCAGUUAAGAUUCAGACUACAUAUGGAUUCCUUUUUGUUGCCGACAAUGCUAUAAUCACGCUAACUAUGUGCAUGGAGUGUACUAGAGAUGAUGCAAAAAUUGCUUGCAGAUAGGCGGCUGGGUGCAUGAAUAAUUGUCAAGGUGGCCGAAGCUAGCGCUAUUUUUGUUGGACUGAAGGAAUUGUAUAAGGUAUUUCGAGGCUCCCUGGUGGUGGAGAUCGACUACACAGUGGGGAAAUGAGCUAGGGGUUGAUUUUGUAAGCAGAUCAUUGUCCUACCCAAUUAUUGUUGAUAUUAAAUCUGCCGAAGCUCCCAGAGACCUUAUGGUUGCGGAUGGUGUCGCGGACCAAUUACAUGCUCUGCUCUGGAAGGAAAAUGAUGCAGCCUUGACGUCGGCCUAAGUCUUGAUGUAAUCCUCAAAAGAGAUAUUGCUUGCAGAUUGGUUAUAUAGAAACAUGCAUGUUAUAGGUCUGUUAAUUUUAGUUUUGGAAUACUAAGAUCUGUUCAGAUGCUUUCCUUACUCUUAGGGCUAAAAAAUUCACAAGAUAGUGACUGAAAUACGUUGGUUUUACUCAACUUGCUGCUACUUGAUUAGUACUCAAUCAAGAUUUUUUUUUUGAGAAAAGUACUCAAUCAAGAUGAGGGUGACCAUGAUAACUGGUGUUGAGUAUAGGUACAUGGACUGAAUUUUCCAUUGUGCCAAAACUAACACAUCAGAAUCUUUCAAUUUGCUGCUACCAUAUUUCAAAGUAAGAACACGAUGAUGCACAGGAAUCUUAUUAUGUAGGCAUAUGUAAUCUCAGUUUUUUACUCUGUAUAAACUAUGAUAGGAGUAGGCCCACAUAAAUGUGUAUCCAGUUUUGCCUUCUAUUGAUCUAUGACAAAGGGGAUGUGCUGGACUAACUGGCCAUUCCUAUUGAAACAAAGAAGUGGAACUGACAAUUUUUCAAACAAUAGAGGUUGUCUUUCAUAUGGAUUUUAUUAUUAGAUACUUGCAGAUGUGUUUCGCUUCCUUAGAUCAUGUUUGAUUCUUAAAUAUUUAGAUGUUUCAUGUAACCAUCAAUUAUGCAACUGGCAGUCCCUGUACAUUCUUUUUUAUCUGCUCUAAAAAUAUAUAUUUCGGUUUAUAAGCAUCAUACAUUUUAGUCUAUAAGUAAGAUUAUAAGUUGAUCCAGUGUCAUACACAAUUCAGUUGAACAUGUUUGUUCUACCGGUUUUAGGCAACAAUUCACGUGCAUACAUUCACGUGCAUACGAAGUUUGAUUCCAUGUGAAGUCAAUGAUUGAUUUUUUAUUGAAUUCUUUAGGUUUAAUUGGUGAAGCUACAUUCAGCAAAGAAGAUAUGUUUAUUUGUGGGUAUUAAUUUUCGCAGGGAAUAUCCAUCCAUCCAUGCACAAGACUGACAAUAUCAUUCUUUAACAAUGUGCACUUGCCUCUACUCUGUCGUGCGUAGAGAUAAGGCUGGGACAUCUAUUGUUUUUUGUACAAUCUUACACUGUAAAAUAAUUUUUGGUACCAAACAUGUUAACAAGGGCGCAAGUUUUUUCAUACAUAAUUUCAGAAGUACUCCAUGUAAACGGGCGUUUGGUACCAAACAUGUUAACCAACAAAAGGCCGGCCACACAGGGCAUUGGCCCAGUAGGCCAACGCGGCCAGGCUCGCACACACGCAUACUAGCAAGGUGCGGCCGUGGCCUGGUCGCGGCGUGCGGGAGGUAGCGAGGGGCGGAAGCGGGCGUGGCAGCAACGGGGCCAGCGCCGGAGCGGCAGGCGGCU
rnacentral:rRNA from 1 species